CUUCCCUCUAUGUUUUUUCAUCUCCCUACGCUCUGGAAUCUUUUCCCAGCAGAAAACCGGGAAAGUCAGCAUGUAAAGGCAGGGAGGUACCAAAAGUAUGCCUGCAAGUAACUCCCCAUCAGAUUCCACUGGCUGAGUUCUAAUGGCAUCUCCUCAGUGAAAUCCUCCUGAAUUUCAUCUUCUGUGGCAUCUACAUAAAGAGGAAGAAACAGAGGCAUAAUUAUAAGUGGAAUGAAGAGAAAGCAAAGCAAAAGUCUGGUUCUGCAACAUUCAGAGUGAGAGAUGACUGUAGUCAAAGCUUGGAGGUUUUGAGAAAGAGACAAAGAAGAGAAGGAAGAGAAUUUGUAAGUGACCUAAACCGAGCGGAUCCAUUCUGGAUUUACUUUCCUAUAAAGCCGCAGUUUCGGAGCUGGACACGUUUUGAGUAGAAAAGAAACAAGAUCUGGUGGAGGUUAAAGGAAGUUGGUCUGGGCACAAAUCUUGAGCACACCACGUAUUAGCUGAGAAAACCUACACACAGUAUUUAGUGCUCGCAUUUCUUCACAAAUAAAAUGGGAAUAAGAAUACAACCCAGCUUAGCACUGGGCCAGACAUAUAGGAAUCCCUCAAUAAAAACCCACUAUUAUCCA
rnacentral:lncRNA from 1 species